GUUCUCCAACUGCUCUAUGAUGGUGUACAACAGGGGUUCUCAACCUUUUUCUUUCUGAGGCCCCCCAAACAAGUUAUAAAAACUCCAUAGCCCACCCGUGCCAUAACUGGUUUUCUGCAUAUAAAAGCCAGGGCUAGUGUUAG